AAUAGAUACUCCGGUAGUCCACGCCGUAAACGAUGUCGACUUGGAGGUUGUGCCCUUGAGGCGUGGCUUCCGGAGCUAACGCGUUAAGUCGACCGCCUGGGGAGUACGGCCGCAAGGUUAAAACUCAAAUGAAUUGACGGGGGCCCGCACAAGCGGUGGAGCAUGUGGUUUAAUUCGAUGCAACGCGAAGAACCUUACCUACUCUUGACAUCCAGAGAACUUAGCAGAGAUGCUUUGGUGCCUUCGGGAACUCUGAGACAGGUGCUGCAUGGCUGUCGUCAGCUCGUGUUGUGAAAUGUUGGGUUAAGUCCCGCAACGAGCGCAACCCUUAUCCUUUGUUGCCAGCGGUUCGGCCGGGAACUCAAAGGAGACUGCCAGUGAUAAACUGGAGGAAGGUGGGGAUGACGUCAAGUCAUCAUGGCCCUUACGAGUAGGGCUACACACGUGCUACAAUGGCAUAUACAAAGAGAAGCGACCUCGCGAGAGCAAGCGGACCUCAUAAAGUAUGUCGUAGUCCGGAUUGG
rnacentral:rRNA from 1 species